rfam:Salmo salar isolate Sally breed double haploid chromosome ssa02, whole genome shotgun sequence.
UAUGCACACUACUGUAAGUCGCUCUGGAUGAGGGCGUCUGCUAAAUGACUUCAA